rnacentral:rRNA from 1 species
UACAGAGGGUGCGAGCGUUAAUCGGAAUUACUGGGCGUAAAGCGUGCGUAGACGGUCAUGUAAGUCGGAUGUGAAAGCCCCGGGCUCAACCUGGGAAUUGCAUUCGAGACUGCAUGGCUUGGGUGCGGAAGAGGGAAGCGGAACUUCCGGUGUAGCGGUGAAAUGCGUAGAUAUCGGAAGGAACACCAGUGGCGAAAGCGGGCUCCUGGACCCCACCUGACGCUGAGACGCGAAAGCCAGGGGAGCGAACGGG